AUUGAACGCUGGCGGCAUGCCUUACACAUGCAAGUCGAACGGCAGCACGGGAGCAAUCCUGGUGGCGAGUGGCGAACGGGUGAGUAAUGUAUCGGAACGUGCCCAGUCGUGGGGGAUAACGUAGCGAAAGCUACGCUAAUACCGCAUACGAUCUAUGGAUGAAAGCGGGGGAUCGCAAGACCUCGCGCGAUUGGAGCGGCCGAUAUCAGAUUAGGUAGUUGGUGGGGUAAAGGCCUACCAAGCCUGCGAUCUGUAGCUGGUCUGAGAGGACGACCAGCCACACUGGAACUGAGACACGGUCCAGACUCCUACGGGAGGCAGCAGUGGGGAAUUUUGGACAAUGGGCGCAAGCCUGAUCCAGCAAUGCCGCGUGCAGGAUGAAGGCCUUCGGGUUGUAAACUGCUUUUGUACGGAGCGAAAAGGCUCUCUCUAAUACAGGGGGCUCAUGACGGUACCGUAAGAAUAAGCACCGGCUAACUACGUGCCAGCCGCCGCCGUAA
rnacentral:rRNA from 1 species